rnacentral:rRNA from 1 species
CCUACGGGUGGCUGCAGUGGGGAAUUUUGGACAAUGGGGGCAACCCUGAUCCAGCCAUGCCGCGUGCGGGAAGAAGGCCUUCGGGUUGUAAACCGCUUUCGGCCGGAACGAAAUCGCCGGGGAGAACAUCCCCGGUGGAUGACGGUACCGGAAGAAGAAGCACCGGCUAACUACGUGCCAGCAGCCGCGGUAAUACGUAGGGUGCUAGCGGGAAUCGGAGUUACUGGACGUGGAGCGUUAAGACAGGGGUGAAAUCCCCGGGCUUAACCUGGGAACUGCGUUUGUGACUGGCGGGCUGGAGUGCGGAAGAGGGAGGUGGAAUUCCACGUGUAGCAGUGAAAUGCGUAGAGAUGUGGAGGAACACCGAUGGCGAAGGCAGCCUCCUGGUCUAGCACUGACGCUCAUGCACGAAAGCGUGGGGAGCAAACAGGAUUAGAUACCCGUGUAGUC